UACGUAGGGGGCAAGCGUUGUUCGGAAUCAUUGGGCGUAAAGCGCGUGUAGGCGGUCCGGUAAGUCCGCUGUGAAAGUCGGGGGCUUAACCCUCGGAUGCCGGUGGAUACUGUCGGGCUUGAGUACGGAAGAGGCGAGUGGAAUUCCUGGUGUAGCGGUGAAAUGCGCAGAUAUCAGGAGGAACACCAAUUGCGAAGGCAGCUCGCUGGGACGUUACUGACGCUGAGACGCGAAAGCGUGGGGAGCAAACAGG
rnacentral:rRNA from 1 species